AACCUCGGAUCCACAACAAAUCCACUCUCAGAGUCUUUUAUCUUUCACCAUUCGUUCUCCUUUCUUGUUUCUGCCCCUCCCUUCCCCCCCCCCCCAGUCUCCAUCCUUUCCCCUUCUCUUUUCUUUUCGACUAGCUUGCUCCAUCUCGUCGUGAGUGAUGAGAUCUUCUUCUUGAUUAUAUCCGAAAUCCUUAACAUCGCCGAGCGAUUAAGAAUGGGAGCUCGCUGCUCCAGAUUCUCCCUCUGCUGGUGGCCCGCCCACUUCAAGUCCUCUGUCCUCGAGCCCGCCGACGAUCUUGAGAAUGGGGGCGACGGCGAUCGGGACGGGGUGCCGAGGUUUGCGGAGUUCAGGCUGGAGGAGCUUCGGGCGGCCACCGAUGGCUUCUCCCCAGAUCACAUCGUCUCGGAGCACGGCGAGAAAGCCCCCAACGUCGUCUACCGUGGCAACCUCCUCAACAGCGACCGCACCGUCGCCAUCAAGCGCUUCAACAAGUUCGCCUGGCCCGACCCGCGCCAGUUCCUCGAGGAGGCGAGAGCGGUGGGGCAGCUCCGGAGCGAGCGGCUGGCCAACCUCAUUGGCUGCUGCUGCGAGGGUGAAGAGAGGCUGCUGGUCGCCGAGUUCAUGCCCCACGAAACCCUAGCCAAGCACCUCUUCCACUGGGACACGCAGCCUUUGAGUUGGGCAAUGAGGAUAAGAGUCGUGUUGUACUUAGCACAAGCACUGGAGUAUUGCAACAGCAAGGGGCGGGCACUCUAUCACGAUCUCAAUGCAUACAGAGUCCUCUUUGAUCAGGAUGGUGAUCCCAGGCUCUCCUGUUUUGGCCUCAUGAAGAACAGCAGAGAUGGGAAGAGUUAUAGCACUAACUUAGCAUUCACACCUCCAGAGUACCUCAGGACAGGGAGAGUGACGCCAGAGAGCGUAGUAUACAGCUUUGGAACUCUGCUGCUUGAUCUUCUUAGUGGAAAGCAUAUUCCCCCAAGCCAUGCACUUGACCUAAUUCGCAGUAAGAAUUUUCUGAUGCUGAUGGAUUCAUGUUUGGAGGGGCAUUUCUCCAAUGCUGAUGGGACUGAACUGGUGCGGCUGGCUUCUCGUUGUUUACAAUAUGAACCUCGUGAGAGGCCAAAUCUGAAGUCAUUAGUGACCACUCUUACAUCGCUUCAGAAAGAUGCAGACGUGCCCUCAUACAUAUUGAUGGGUAUUCCACAUGGUCCUACAAACUCUGUGCAAAUACUUUCUUUAUCUCCUUUUGCUGAAGCUUGCACCAGGUUAGACCUCACUGCUAUACAUGAAAUAUUGGAGAAGGUUGGAUACAAGGAUGAUGAAGGAAUAGCCAAUGAGCUCUCUUUCCAAGUGUGGACCAGCCAAAUGCAGGAGACUUUGAACUGUAAGAAGCAUGGAGACAGUGCUUUUCGGGCUAAAGAUUUUGGAACUGCAAUUGAUUACUAUACACAGGUUUAUUCUAUGAGCCUAAAACAUACAUUAUAAGUUACAUUUAUUCACAUUGAUUUAGACACUGCACUGAAUAAUAAGAAGUCAGGUAGCCAUUUAAUUAUUCAUUCAAUUUGAUUGGGUGGUGAAACUGGCCUCGUGACAAUUCUAGACUUGUGAGAAGUGAGUCCUUAGCCUUUCUCAUCACCCAGUUUUAUCCAAGAUAUUCCCCACGCAUUCUUCUUCUAUUCAUAGGUCAUGAAAUUCUUUCUGUUACUUUUCUUUUGGCUAAUUUCUUUAACCGGUGCGUCUGGGCGUGUACAAGGUAAAUUUUUGGAUGUAACAGAAACUACAGAAUAUGAGUAUAAUUUCAAUCCUGCUAUAGGAAACCUCUAAGUUGUGAUUGAUGAGCAGCAAGCCUGGCAUGUAUUAGUUCCUUCAGUCGAUAUUGCCAAGAAAGCUUUUCACACUCCACCCUUUUAUUGAUAGUGGAACAAUGAUUUCUCCAACGGUCUUAGCCAGGCGUUGCUUGUCAUACUUGAUGAACGAUAUGCCACAAGAAGCUCUAGGAGAUGCGAUGCAAGCGCAGGUGGUGUCGCCUGAGUGGCC